UUUGCCAUCUUUCCCCCAUAAGGAUUCCAUUGCAUAAUCAUGCUUUUACUUUCAAUAAACUUAUCCCAUAUGGCAUAAAGAUCAUUCUUUGGAAUAGGUUUCUUUAUAUAAUCUGACUUGCUUUUGAAAUAGAUUGUCAUAGGCUCCUUGGGGGUAGUAAGUAAAGUUUCUAGUGGAGUACCUAUUGGAAUGCGAUCCCAAUAAAGAGUGCUAUUAAUCCAAGGCAUUUCAAUGCAGUCACUUUUUCUUAAACCAAGUUCAGGGAAACUCUUACUCACCAAAGGUAGAAGUUUGUCAAUUGUUCCCAAGAAUUCACCAAUAAAAGCAACUUUCACUUUCUUCUUACCCCCUUUAGUUCCAUCCACCACCGAAUGCUCUACUCUUAUAAAAAGAUCUUCAUCUAGGUUUGGCGCAACUUCUUGCCAUUUGUAAAGAACAUCAGCUGCACCAUCUUCCACAAAUUUAUUCACGGUGAAUAUUGUUACUUUAGCAGGUACAGAAAAAUGUAUUUUUGUCAUAAUAUUUCACUAAAUGACAUGUGAUAUGCACAUGAUGCUAUUAUUUAAUGGUCAACUAACAACAUGAGUAGUCAAUAUAAUGUGCAUAUAUAAAUGAUGAGAGGUUUGUGUAGGUACAAAAAAUGAUGAAUGAUUCGUGUAAUUUCAUUAAAACCCAUGGGAGAUGUAUAUAAUUUACUCUUUUAUUUCUAAUGGAAACAAAGGAUGUGGUUUUAUAAGUGUUUUAUAAACUAUCAUAUGCAAUGAUUUUAGGUGUUUCCUAUAAUUGUCAUGGUCAAAAAUCAUGGUCGUUUCAAAGUAAACUAUCAUAGGCCAUAGUUUUAAAAGUGUUCUCUAAAAUAUCAUAGACAAUAGUUUUAGGUGUUUCCUAUAAUGGCCAUGGUAAAAAACUAGUCUUUUCUAAGUACAUGAAUUGUUCCUGAUGUCAAUUAUAAAGGCAAUGGUUUUUGUCCACAACUGACAUAUGUCAAAAAAUUGCCUAAACAAAAGACAAUAUUUUAGACUACCAUAGUUAAAAAAAAACCAUUUUCUAUGAUAAAAACAACAAUUUUUUCAUAUUACAUUAUAAUUUUAAAAGUGUUGUCAAAGGAUAAUAAUAUUGUAGUGGUCAUUUUAAUAUAAAAAUAUACUAUUCCUACAAUAUUUACAAUAAUGUUACAUGUUGUUUUUAUUAAAAAAAAUAAUAUCAAUCCUCUGUUUAAUUUUGAGUUGUUUAAUCAAUCUUUAAAUAAUAUCUCAAUGUUAAAUUUUGUUAGCCUUAUAGAACACAUUUAAUGUGUAUAAAUGAAAAAAAUUAAUUCAUCCAUGAAAAUAAUACUUUUCUAUUUCAUUAGUAGCAUAUGCAAGAUUUAAAUAUUUAGUUUUCAAUACCAUAAAUAAGAUAUAUCUUUUUUAUGUAAAUUUAUUUCAGGAUUAUGCUAAUCACCACCAAUUGUGAUCAAGCAGAAGUAUUAAGUUUUUACAUCACUUAACUUUUCUCCAUAAAACAUUAUUGUCCCACUAAUAUCCAGACUUAGUUGGAAUACUUUGUUCGUAUCUGAAAAAAUUAAGAGGAUCAACCAUAGUUUUAACAUUCACUAAUCUAUCAAAGUUCUCUUUGAAAUAUUUGCUCCCAUAAGUUUUAGCUAUGUCCUUGCUUGUUGUAUUACUUGGAUAGUUAGCACCAAUAUCAGUAUCCCUAUAGUUGAGAAAUGUCUCCCUUGGUGACUUUGAGGCAUAAGGAGCCAUCAAAUUAUAAAAUGACCUUGAAAUGUUUAGAUAAUGAUUAUUAGCCUUAUCUCCAUCUUCAGUCCAAAUUAAAAAAUACUGAAUCUUGAACAAAUUCCCUGCCCUGUGAGGAAAUGGGGUAGCUGAUGAUGGAAUCUUUGCCAUCUUUCCCCCAUAAGGAUUCCAUUGCAUAAUCAUGCUUUUACUUUCAAUAAACUUAUCCCAUAUGGCAUAAAGAUCAUUCUUUGGAAUAGGUUUCUUUAUAUAAUCUGACUUGCUUUUGAAAUAGAUUGUCAUAGGCUCCUUGGGGGUAGUAAGUAAAGUUUCUAGUGGAGUACCUAUUGGAAUGCGAUCCCAAUAAAGAGUGCUAUUAAUCCAAGGCAUUUCAAU
rnacentral:lncRNA from 1 species